GACGAACGCUGGCGGCGUGCUUAACACAUGCAAGUCGAACGGAAAGGCCCUGCUUUUGUGGGGUGCUCGAUUGGCGAACGGGUGAGUAACACGUGAGUAACCUGCCCUUGACUUUGGGAUAACUUCAGGAAACUGGGGCUAAUACCGGAUAGGAGCUCCUGCUGCAUGGUGGGGGUUGGAAAGUUUCGGCGGUUGGGGAUGGACUCGCGGCUUAUCAGCUUGUUGGUGGGGUAGUGGCUUACCAAGGCUUUGACGGGUAGCCGGCCUGAGAGGGUGACCGGCCACAUUGGGACUGAGAUACGGACCAGACUCCUACGGGAGGCAGCAGUGGGGAAUAUUGCACAAUGGGCGGAAGCCUGAUGCAGCAACGCCGCGUGCGGGAUGACGGCCUUCGGGUUGUAAACAGCUUUCGCAUGUGACGAAGAGUGAGUGACGGUAAUGGGUAAAGAAGCACCGGCUAACUACGUG
rnacentral:rRNA from 1 species